rnacentral:ncRNA from 1 species
UUCUGUGAGGAUUGACAGAUUGAGAGCUAUUUCUUAUUUCGGUGGAUGGGGUGUAUGUCCGUGCUUAGUUGGUGGAGUGAUCUGUCUGGUUAAUUCCGACAACGAACGAGACCCUAGCCUAUUAAAUAGGUGCGUGGUUCUCUGCACCUUGCAUCCUUCUUAGAGUGACAAGCGGCUCCUAGCCGCACGAAACAGUGCAAUAAAAGGUCUGUGAUGCCCUUAG